CAGCAGUUAGACCGGACAGCUGCUUUUUAAAAGCACUGAUAAGAGGCACCCUGAUGCUGAACAUUGCAAAUUGGAAGUGAAGAUUGCCUUCCUGUAGACUUUAUCUUAAAGCAGUAAAACAAGAAGCUGUGACUACAACUGCAGUGAAGUGUACACAGUGUGGUUUCUGUGGAUGGCCUGCGUUUCUUCAGCAGCAGCAGACUCCUCUGAGGAACUGGCCUGACUCAUCUGCAUCUGUGACAGGUCAUGUCCAUGAGUUGGAGUGGAUAACCCAAAGCGCCCAAACCGGCCCGCUAACACUGAAAUCCAUGUUUAAAGAUGCUGUCAGGUUUAAGAUGGAAAGGAAGCACAUGGAAAAGUUGCUACCAAGUAAUUUCAGUGCAAUAAACAUUGUUUUGAAUCACCUGCA
rnacentral:lncRNA from 1 species